rnacentral:rRNA from 1 species
GACGAACGCUGGCGGCGUGCUUAACACAUGCAAGUCGAACGGAAAGGCCCUGCUUUUGUGGGGUGCUCGAGUGGCGAACGGGUGAGUAACACGUGAGUAACCUGCCCUUGACUUUGGGAUAACUUCAGGAAACUGGGGCUAAUACCGGAUAGGAGCUCCUGCUGCAUGGUGGGGGUUGGAAAGUUUCGGCGGUUGGGGAUGGACUCGCGGCUUAUCAGCUUGUUGGUGGGGUAGUGGCUUACCAAGGCUUUGGCGGGUAGCCGGCCUGAGAGGGUGACCGGCCACAUUGGGACUGAGAUACGGCCCAGACUCCUACGGGAGGCAGCAGUGGGGAAUAUUGCACAAUGGGCGGAAGCCUGAUGCAGCAACGCCGCGUGCGGGAUGACGGCCUUCGGGUUGUAAACCGCUUUCGCCUGUGACGAAGCGUGAGUGACGGUAAUGGGUAAAGAAGCACCGGCUAACUACGUGCCAGCAGCCGCGGUGAUACGUAGGGUGCGAGCGUUGUCCGGAUUUAUUGGGCGUAAAGGGCUCGUAGGUGGUUGAUCGCGUCGGAAGUGUAAUCUUGGGGCUUAACCCUGAGCGUGCUUUCGAUACGGGUUGACUUGAGGAAGGUAGGGGAGAAUGGAAUUCCUGGUGGAGCGGUGGAAUGCGCAGAUAUCAGGAGGAACACCAGUGGCGAAGGCGGUUCUCUGGGCCUUUCCUGACGCUGAGGAGCGAAAGCGUGGGGAGCGAACAGGCUUAGAUACCCUGGUAGUCCACGCUGUAAACGGUGGGUACUAGGUGUGGGGUCCAUUCCACGGGUUCCGUGCCGUAGCUAACGCUUUAAGUACCCCGCCUGGGGAGUACGGCCGCAAGGCUAAAACUCAAAGGAAUUGACGGGGCCCCGCACAAGCGGCGGAGCAUGCGGAUUAAUUCGAUGCAACGCGUAGAACCUUACCUGGGUUUGACAUGGAUCGGGAGCGCUCAGAGAUGGGUGUGCCUCUUUUGGGGUCGGUUCACAGGUGGUGCAUGGCUGUCGUCAGCUCGUGUCGUGAGAUGUUGGGUUAAGUCCCGCAACGAGCGCAACCCUUGUUCACUGUUGCCAGCACGUUAUGGUGGGGACUCAGUGGAGACCGCCGGGGUCAACUCGGAGGAAGGUGGGGAUGACGUCAAGUCAUCAUGCCCCUUAUGUCCAGGGCUUCACGCAUGCUACAAUGGCUGGUACAGAGAGUGGCGAGCCUGUGAGGGUGAGCGAAUCUCGGAAAGCCGGUCUCAGUUCGGAUUGGGGUCUGCAACUCGACCUCAUGAAGUCGGAGUCGCUAGUAAUCGCAGAUCAGCAACGCUGCGGUGAAUACGUUCCCGGG